rnacentral:rRNA from 1 species
GACGAACGCUGGCGGCGUGCUUAACACAUGCAAGUCGUACGGUAAGGCCCUUUCGGGGGUACACGAGUGGCGAACGGGUGAGUAACACGUGAGUAACCUGCCCACAACUUUGGGAUAACGCUAGGAAACUGGUGCUAAUACUGGAUACGUGCUCCUGCUGCAUGGUGGGGGUUGGAAAGCUCCGGCGGUUGUGGAUGGACUCGCGGCCUAUCAGCUUGUUGGUGGGGUAGUGGCCUACCAAGGCGGCGACGGGUAGCCGGCCUGAGAGGGUGACCGGCCACAUUGGGACUGAGAUACGGCCCAGACUCCUACGGGAGGCAGCAGUGGGGAAUAUUGCACAAUGGGCGCAAGCCUGAUGCAGCAACGCCGCGUGCGGGAUGACGGCCUUCGGGUUGUAAACCGCUUUCAGCAGGGACGAAGCUUUCUGUGACGGUACCUGCAGAAGAAGCACCGGCUAACUACGUG